GUCAGAUGAUUCAACCAAGCCGAGAACGUGCUGGUCGGACGCUGCUUCUGAUGAUCUGGACAAGAGCUAUGUCAUCUCUCCGCACGUUCGGUCUUUGAAAAGCUUUGUACCGCCAUCUCCUGCAAGAUCUCAGCUGAAAGAGAUGGCUCUACCUGCAAAAUCACCAAGAGUACCCCGAUCAUUCUUCUCGUUCUCAUCGUUUAAAAACAAAGGGAACUGAUGCCGGACAUUAGUGGCAAAAGUUGCCGCUUGUACAUUCUAUUUAGUAUUUACAGUUAGGUCGUUAUAUCAGUGAUCCUCCAGACAACUUAAUUUUCUG